AUGAGUGAGUCGUGCGAGUGCCUUACUUUUAAAAUGCCAUUGCUUGAGAAACAAGAAAACGGCGAGCAAGUGCUGGUGAAAAAUGAAACCUAUCUUCAAAUUUUAAAAAACAAAGAUCAACGGAGGAGACUUGUACAUGAAAUCUGCACCUUUUUGGACAGCAGCCAGUCUAACUCAAGACUGCGUUAUAAAACAAAAGAUUGGGCCCUCAAGAAAGAAGAAUAUGAAAACGAGAUUGAAAGACUUUCGGGUGAGAUAUCUAAUUAUUUGAAUGUCACCAAUUUCUGGUAUGAAGAGUCUGAACUUCUCAACAACCAAGAUAAACGAACCUUAAGUGAACAAAGAAAACAUGUCAGCACUCAGACGGAGGCUAUGUUUGGAAUGGAGAAGCGGACUGUUGAAACUCAGACUGGAGAAGAUUUCUCAAGCUAUGUUCUUGAAGAGUCAUUAUCACAGGUAAGUAAGAUAUAUGGAUCAGACAGUAGGCAAGUAGCUGCUGUACAUAUGCUAUUAUGUUCUCUCAUUCCUGAGCCUCAUCAACUAAUUUGGAAAUAAAAUGUUUUUUGGCUUUGUUUUUAAAUCCGAACACUUAAUAUUUGUUCAAAGCAGAACUCCUUUUUAGUGUACAAUAGAUGCUUAGUGCUGUAUAGAUUAUUGUUGCUCAGAAUGUUUUUAAAAAUAUAUGUUUAAUAUUAUCUUUACAGGAUGAGUUUGAGUAGCAGAAAUCCCGCAUAACCUGAGAAAUGGGGAGCUUUUAUGGUUAAUAUUUUAAAUUUUAUUGAACAUAUUAACAUAUUUAUAGCUAUUUAACUCUAUGACAAAUAAAGAUAUUUUAAUUCUGCUGUGUUUUGAUUAG
rnacentral:lncRNA from 1 species